AGUGAACGCUGGCGGUAGGCCUAACACAUGCAAGUCGAACGGCAGCACAGUAAGAGCUUGCUCUUACGGGUGGCGAGUGGCGGACGGGUGAGGAAUACAUCGGAAUCUACUUUUUCGUGGGGGAUAACGUAGGGAAACUUACGCUAAUACCGCAUACGACCUACGGGUGAAAGCAGGGGAUCUUCAGACCUUGCGCGAUUGAAUGAGCCGAUGUCGGAUUAGCUAGUUGGCGGGGUAAAGGCCCACCAAGGCGACGAUCCGUAGCGGGUCUGAGAGGAUGAUCAGCCACACUGGAACUGAGCCACGGUCCAGACUACUACGGGAGGCAGCAGUGGGGAAUAUUGGACAAUAGGCGCAAGCCUGAUCCAGCCAUACCGCGUGGGUGAAGAAGGCCUUCGGGUUGUAAAGCCCUUUUGUUGGGAAAGAAAAGCAGCAGGUUAAUACCCCGCUGUUCUGACGGUACCCAAAGAAUAAGCACCGGCUAACUUCGUG
rnacentral:rRNA from 1 species